rnacentral:rRNA from 1 species
GACGGAGGAUGCAAGUGUUAUCCGGAAUCACUGGGCGUAAAGCGUCUGUAGGUGGUUUAAAAAGUCCACUGUUAAAAAUUGAAGCUUAACUUCAAAGAUGCCGUGGAAACUUUUAAACUUGAGGAUGAUAGGGGUAGAGGGAAUUUCCAGUGGAGCGGUGAAAUGCGUAGAUAUUGGAAAGACCACCAAUGGCGAAGGCACUCUACUGGGCCAUUACUGACACUGAGAGACGAAAGCUAGGGGAGCGAAUGGG